rnacentral:rRNA from 1 species
UGGGGAAUAUUGGACAAUGGGCGCAAGCCUGAUCCAGCCAUACCGCGUGUGUGAAGAAGGCCUUCGGGUUGUAAAGCACUUUUGUCCGGAAAGAAAUGGCUCUGGUUAAUACCUGGGGUCGAUGACGGUACCGGAAGAAUAAGGACCGGCUAACUACGUGCCAGCAGCCGCGGUAAUACGUAGGGUCCAAGCGUUAAUCGGAAUUACUGGGCGUAAAGCGUGCGCAGGCGGUUUGCUAAGACCGAUGUGAAAUCCCCGGGCUCAACCUGGGAACUGCAUUGGUGACUGGCAGGCUAGAGUAUGGCAGAGGGGGGUAGAAUUCCACGUGUAGCAGUGAAAUGCGUAGAGAUGUGGAGGAAUACCGAUGGCGAAGGCAGCCCCCUGGGCCAAAUACUGACGCUCAUGCAUCGAAAGCGUGGGGAGCAAACAGGAUUAGAUACCCUGGUAGUCCAGCGCCCAU